GGGCUGCUGAGGCGGCAGAGUGGACCUGAGGAAGGAUUCAGGAGAGAUUCGCGGCUGACCUUCAGGAGUAAAGACCACGCGCAAGGGCAAAGCCUGAGGUUCAUCGAGUGGUUGAGCAUGACUGUGUCUCCUUUUCUCUGGUGCUUUAGUAAGGAGCUGGCUUCACAGCAGAGCAGCCGUGUUCCAACAGGGGACACUGGUGUUGCAGGAAGUGUCUCAACAAGUGUGCCACAUCCCAGCCCCAAGACUAAGCUUUAAUCUGUUCAUCUACGUGGCUCUCCGAAAACAAAUGAAGUCAACUCAUGCAUCAGGACAUUCUACAGUUAGCUAAGUGCAGUGAUCCAUUUUAAACCCACACCCAGACCUACACUAAGUAUAAAAACUAACACAUAUACUUCACUCUUUCAACUUCAAAUGAUAGUUAAUAUUCAUGAUAGAGAAACAGGUGAAGCUGUUCUUUAAUUGACCUGCUCUGUAACAGAAGGUCUUCAUCUGGAUUCUGCCCAUCUUCGGGAUCAGUGCACCAUACAGAUUUUCUGCCAGUGCCCUGGUACGGCAGGGACAGUCAGGCUCCCUGGCCCUCACAUGGAGCAGCAGAGGCCGGCGAUGUCCUCACAGAGUUCGGAGC